UUGGCGGUGAACGGCCAGUUCCGGUCGAUGCCGGCGAGCAUCUCGUCGCCGAAAUGGUCGCCAUCGGCCAUGCUGCCGACGGAAGCUUCCGCGCCGUACUCACCCGGCACCACCUUGGCGAUCUUGCCGUGCGCGACCAGCACGACCUCCUCGAGCGGAGCGCCGUGGCUGACGAUCGUCUCGCCGGGCUGGUACUCGUGCUGCACGAACCGGUCGGCGAGCGCGGUGAGCGUGUCCUCGUCGUCGAAACCACGCAGCAGAGCCAAUUCCGAGAGUUCCUGCGGGACGACCCGGACCUCCGUGCCGACGUUGGUGAAGCUCACCCGUCCGUCGCCGAUCGCGUAGGUCAGCCGGCGGUUGACCCGGAAGGUGCCACCGGUCGCCUCGACCCAGGGCAGCAUCUUCAGCAGCCAGCGCGGCGUGAUGCUCUGCAUCUGCGGCCGCGUCUUGGUGGUCGUCGCCAGGUUCCGCGCGGCGGCGGGGCCGAGACUGAGCCG
rnacentral:antisense_RNA from 1 species